UGGGGAAUAUUGGACAAUGGGCGCAAGCCUGAUCCAGCCAUGCCGCGUGAGUGAUGAAGGCACUAGGGUUGUAAAGCUCUUUCACCGGUGAAGAUAAUGACGGUAACCGGAGAAGAAGCCCCGGCUAACUUCGUGCCAGCAGCCGCGGUAAUACGAAGGGGGCUAGCGUUGUUCGGAUUUACUGGGCGUAAAGCGCACGUAGGCGGACUAUUAAGUCAGGGGUGAAAUCCCGGGGCUCAACCCCGGAACUGCCUUUGAUACUGGUAGUCUUGAGUUCGAGAGAGGUGAGUGGAAUUCCGAGUGUAGAGGUGAAAUUCGUAGAUAUUCGGAGGAACACCAGUGGCGAAGGCGGCUCACUGGCUCGAUACUGACGCUGAGGUGCGAAAGCGUGGGGAGCAAACAGG
rnacentral:rRNA from 1 species